AGAGUUUGAUCCUGGCUCAGGAUGAACGCUGGCGGCGUGCUUAACACAUGCAAGUCGAACGAAGCAUUUUAAAUGAAGUUUUCGGAUGGAUUUUAAAAUGACUGAGUGGCGGACGGGUGAGUAACGCGUGGGCAACCUGCCUUACACAGGGGGACAACAGUUAGAAAUGACUGCUAAUACCGCAUAAGCGCACAGCUUCGCAUGAAGCAGUGUGAAAAACUCCGGUGGUGUAAGAUGGGCCCGCGUUGGAUUAGGUAGUUGGUGGGGUAACGGCCUACCAAGCCGACGAUCCAUAGCCGACCUGAGAGGGUGACCGGCCACAUUGGGACUGAGACACGGCCCAAACUCCUACGGGAGGCAGCAGUGGGGAAUAUUGCACAAUGGGCGCAAGCCUGAUGCAGCGACGCCGCGUGAGCGAAGAAGUAUUUCGGUAUGUAAAGCUCUAUCAGCAGGGAAGAAAAUGACGGUACCUGACUAAGAAGCUCCGGCUAAAUACGUGCCAGCAGCCGCGGUAAUACGUAUGGAGCAAGCGUUAUCCGGAUUUACUGGGUGUAAAGGGAGCGUAGACGGACUAGCAAGUCUGAUGUGAAAGGCUGGGGCUCAACCCCGGGACUGCAUUGGAAACUGUCAGUCUUGAGUGCCGGAGAGGUAAGCGGAAUUCCUAGUGUAGCGGUGAAAUGCGUAGAUAUUAGGAGGAACACCAGUGGCGAAGGCGGCUUACUGGACGGUAACUGACGUUGAGGCUCGAAAGCGUGGGGAGCAAACCAGGAUUAGAUACCCUGGUAGUCCACGCGGUAAACGAUGAUACUAAGUGUUGGGUUGCAUAGCAAUUCGGUGC
rnacentral:rRNA from 1 species